GGGAGGACCAUCUCCCAAGGCUAAAUACUCCCUAGUGACCGAUAGUGAACCAGUACCGUGAGGGAAAGGUGAAAAGCACCCCGGAAGGGGAGUGAAACAGUUCCUGAAACCGUGUGCCUACAAGUAGUUAGAGCCCGUUAAUGGGUGAUAGCGUGCCUUUUGUAGAAUGAACCGGCGAGUUACGAUUUGUUGCAAGGUUAAGCGGAAAAAGCGGAGCCGUAGCGAAAGCGAGUCUGAAUAGGGCGCAUAAGUAACAGGUCGUAGACCCGAAACCAGGUGAUCUACCCAUGUCCAGGAUGAAGGUAAGGUAAUACUUACUGGAGGUCCGAACCCACGCACGUUGAAAAGUGCGGGGAUGAGGUGUGGGUAGCGGAGAAAUUCCAAUCGAACUUGGAGAUAGCUGGUUCUCUCCGAAAUAGCUUUAGGGCUAGCCUCGAGGUAAAGAGUCAUGGAGGUAGAGCACUGUUUGGACUAGGGGCCCUUCUCGGGUUACCGAAUUCAGAUAAACUCCGAAUGCCAUGUACUUAUACUCGGGAGUCAGACUGCGAGUGAUAAGAUCCGUAGUCGAAAGGGAAACAGCCCAGACCACCAGUUAAGGUCCCCAAAUAUAUGUUAAGUGGAAAAGGAUGUGGGGUUGCUUAGACAACCAGGAUGUUGGCUUAGAAGCAGCCACCAUUGAAAGAGUGCGUAAUAGCUCACUGGUCGAGUGACCCCGCGCCGAAAAUGUACCGGGGCUAAACAUAUUACCGAAACUGUGGAUGAACCUCUUUAGAGGUUCGUGGUAGGAGAGCGUUCUAAGGGCGGUGAAGUCAGACCGGAAGGACUGGUGGAGCGCUUAGAAGUGAGAAUGCCGGUAUGAGUAGCGAAAGAAGGGUGAGAAUCCCUUCCACCGAAUAUCUAAGGUUUCCUGAGGAAGGCUCGUCCGCUCAGGGUUAGUCGGGACCUAAGC
rnacentral:rRNA from 1 species